GGAAAAGGAAGGACACAGAAGUGGUAGUUGCAGUGAUACCAUCUGCCAACCAGGAAGGUUCCAGUUUUCUUGUGCACCACAGUGAACUCUGUUCACUGAGACCUCACCGAUGGCUGACAGGCGAGGUUAUGGAGAGUCUCUUCCAUCUGUAUGCCAAACAGCUCAACCUCGGAAAGGACUUAUUUUUACUGAACCAUUACACAGCUGGUGUGAUACUGUUUGGAAAAGGAGAAAGCGUUAGACAGCACAGUUUGCGGAGGACUGACUUCAACAACUAUGAAGCCAUACUUUCUUUUGUAAAUGUUGGUGGAGUACACUGGAAGUUACUGAAACAACCAGUAUACAUAGAACAACCAACAAAUCCCUGAGAAAUUUUGAAAGAAGACAUCUUUGGGAUUACAUGAGGAUGCGCAUGAUUGUCCAUGGCAAGAACGACUGGGGAAGAGUCAGAUGGAGAGGAGGAGUCAUGGACCAUCCUGUGCAACGUGACAAGUGUAGUUGCGGGGUCAUCGUCACCAUGUGUUAGAUCUGGACAACCACUGUGUGAUGUGCUCUGCCUCAAAGCCCCCUGGACCAGGGCCUCCAGCUGGUGGGUGAGUUUUUGUGACUGUUUCUUGUACAUUUAUCAAUUGGGGUUUAUUGUAUAGUUAUAGAAGAAUUUUCUUGGAAUUUUCUAAACUUAGCACCAAGCCACCAAAACCAAUGUCAAGGGCUACCUUACUUCCCAAGAUACAUAAAAACUAUAAAUGAAAAAGAUACUAAAUGUUGACACUAUGACUAAAAUAAUGGAUUAAAAGUGUAACUGUGCCCUUCCACUGUAAUAUUUGGUGUCCAGAACUGUAGUCUAUUGUCCUCUACACAGAUAGAGACCCUAGAUUUUGAAAACAAAAUGCUGUGGUAUACUGCAGUGCAAACCUGAUGAAGACAUAUCUUUCUUUCAUUGACUUCAAGAUGAUGGCUUUUUGUUAUUUGAUUAUAAAGGAUUAACACAGCAUAUUAAACACAUUGUAAAAGUGUAACGCAAUGGACAUAAAUCUCUUAAUACAAAUUAUUGUGGCAAACAAUUUGCAGUCA